UACGGAGGGUGCAAGCGUUAUCCGGAUUUAUUGGGUUUAAAGGGUUCGCAGGCGGGAAAUUAAGUCAGUGGUGAAAGCCUAUCGCUCAACGAUAGAACUGCCAUUGAUACUGAUUUUCUUGAGUGUGGUUGAAGUAGGCGGAAUGUGUCAUGUAGCGGUGAAAUGCAUAGAUAUGACACAGAACACCGAUAGCGAAGGCAGCUUACUAAACCAAUACUGACGCUCAUGAACGAAAGCGUGGGGAGCGAACAGG
rnacentral:rRNA from 1 species